UAAUGUACCCUCUAGCCAUCUACGCGUACGGGUGUUGGGAGACAUCGCCCGGAGAUGGAUUCUGAGACACGAAUCCAGACCCUACGGGGUGCAACAGGCGCGAAAACUUGGCAAUGCGAGAAAUCGUGACCAGGGAACUCCAAGUGCAUCGGGUAAGACCGAUGCUUUUCUUGACUCUUCAAAGGUCUUGGAAUAAGGGGUGGGUAAGGACGGUGCCAGCCGCCGCGGUAAUACCGGCGCCUCAAGUGGUAGUCGCUUUUAUUGGGCCUAAAACGUCCGUAGCCGGUUUGGUACAUUCGUGGGUAAAUCAAGACGCUCAACGUCUUGAAUUCUGCGAGCACGGCCAGACUUGGGACCGGGUGAGGUGUGGGGUACUCUCAGGGUAGGGGUAAAAUCCUGUCAUCCUGAGAGGACCACCUGUUGCGAAGGCGCCACACUAGAACGGAUCCGACGGUCAGGGACGAAGCCUAGGGGCACGAACCGGAUUAGAUACCCGGGUAGUCCUAGGUGUAAACGCUGUGGACUUGAUGUUGGGAGUGCUCCGAGCGCCCUCAGUGUCGAAGCGAAGGUGAUAAGUCCACUGCCUGGGGAGUACGGUCGCAAGGCUGAAACUUAAAGGAAUUGGCGGGGGAGCACUGCAACCUGAGGAUUGUGCGGUUUAAUUGGAUUCAACGCCGGG
rnacentral:rRNA from 1 species